AUUGAACGCUGGCGGCAGGCCUAACACAUGCAAGUCGAACGAGCGGCGGACGGGUGAGUAAUGUCUGGGGAUCUGCCCGAUAGAGGGGGAUAACUACUGGAAAAGGUGGCUAAUACCGCAUACUAUCGGAUGAACCCAUAUGGGAUUAGCUAGUCGGUGGGGUAACGGCUCACCUAGGCGACGAGCCCUAUAUGGGCUGAGAGGAUGAUCAGCAAAACGGGAACUGAGAAACGGCCCUGAAUCCUACGGUAGGCAGCAGUUGGGAAUAUUGCACAAUGGGCGAAAGCCUGAUGCAGCCAUGCCGCGGGGAUGAAGAAGGCCUUAGGGUUGUAAAGUACUUUCAGCGGGGAGGCGUUACCCGCAGAAGAAGCACCGGCUAACGCCGUGCCAGCAGCCGCGGUAAGUC
rnacentral:rRNA from 1 species